rnacentral:rRNA from 1 species
AUUGAACGCUGGCGGCAUGCCUUACACAUGCAAGUCGAACGGUAACAGGUCUUCGGAUGCUGACGAGUGGCGAACGGGUGAGUAAUGCAUCGGAACGUGCCCAGUAGUGGGGGAUAGCCCGGCGAAAGCCGGAUUAAUACCGCAUACGACCUGAGGGUGAAAGGGGGGGAUCGCAAGACCUCUCGCUAUUGGAGCGGCCGAUGUCAGAUUAGCUAGUUGGGGGGGUAAAGGCCUACCAAGGCAACGAUCUGUAGUUGGUCUGAGAGGACGACCAGCCGCACUGGGACUGAGACACGGACCAGACACCUACGGGAGGCAGCAGUGGGGAAUGUUGGACAAUGGGCGCAAGCCUGAUCCAGGAAUGCCGCGUGCAGGAAGAAGGCCUUCGGGUUGUAAACUGCUUUUGUCAGGGAAGAAAUCUUCUGGGUUAAUACCUCGGGAGGAUGACGGUACCUGAAGAAUAAGCACCGGCUAACUACGUGCCAGCAGCCGCGGUAACAC